GGUGCCGCUUCAGCCCUCCACUUCUCCCCUCUUUCACGAUCUCUGCGGCAGUGUCCGCUCGCCGCCGUGAUGGUGAUGGUAUCCCCAUGGCCGUGAAUUCACCCAUUGACAUCUCCUUCCCGUUCGCCUCAUCCUAAUCGGAUCCAUCAUCUCACUGGAUUUGUGACUGCAGUAUCAACGUACGCCUUCCCCUUUCCCUCUCUCUGCUCAGUUCCUCUUCCCAGUUGUCGCAGAUCCCUGUCUCUGCCACCGGUGUUCCUCGCGGCUGCUGAUCAAGUCCAAGCCGACAUCCCUGCCGCUAGGUUGCUGCCCUUUCUCCACGCCACCACUACCGCCCCAGGUUGUUGCGCUACUGGUUCCGCAACGCUCCUCCCCAUACUGCAUCCCGUAAUCGGUCCUCAUCCCCAUCCCCGGCGGCGCCCUAGAUGGAGGUCGGCGCCUCGGCGGUAUAGGUAUACCUAUGGUGACCGCGCCCAACAGUAUCCACGGAGGCACAGAAUGCGGAGAGAUACACAGACCUGUAGAGGAUGGAGGAAGUGACUCGGUGAUCAACUAAUAGCUAGGCACACAAACAUGCUUGAUAUUCCCCCAUCUAUUUGUACGUGUUUGAUGUCUAGACACUGAGGCGCAUGCAAAACAGCUGACCAACGAGCCUGGGAAACUUUCCAAAGAUUCACAUGGCUUGGAUAUGCAAUUGCUUGAUGUUGUUGUCAUCACAUAGAAGCUCUUGUGGCCUAAUGGGUAAAGUGUAUGACUCUAAUCAGGUGAUUCGAGUACCACCAAAUGUGAUUACUUCAGUGCUGCCUAUGACCAUCUAAUUGAUACCCCAAUGGAAAAUUUCAAGGAUUAUAUUAAGGGUUCAAGGCUUCCUGACAAGUGACCAUAACGAUUGUUCAGGAAACUGCUUGUUUCCCUUGAGGAACAUGACGCUAAAGGAUCAAGGGUGUUUUUCAAUCAAGAGCUAUUAGUUACCUUGACCAUGUUGUAUAUCUUCUGAUUUCUUCAGUUAAAAGGUCACCGAUUGCUGAAUUGUGUCUUUUAUGCUAUAAUGAAUUACGAUUUGUAUAUCGUUAAUGCAGACAAAUGAAUUAUAUCAGUAAAUGUGGGCAAACGA